rnacentral:rRNA from 1 species
CCUACGGGAGGCAGCAGUGGGGAAUAUUGCACAAUGGGCGCAAGCCUGAUGCAGCGACGCCGCGUGGGGGAUGACGGCCUUCGGGUUGUAAACCUCUUUCGACACGGACGAAGCCGUGAGGUGACGGUACGUGUAGAAGAAGCACCGGCCAACUACGUGCCAGCAGCCGCGGUAAUACGUAGGGUGCGAGCGUUGUCCGGAAUUACUGGGCGUAAAGAGCUUGUAGGCGGCUCGUCGCGUCGAUCGUGAAAACCUAUCCGCUCAACGGUGGGCUUGCGGUCGAUACGGGCGGGCUGGAGUACUGCAGGGGAGACUGGAAUUCCUGGUGUAGCGGUGAAAUGCGCAGAUAUCAGGAGGAACACCGGUGGCGAAGGCGGGUCUCUGGGCAGUAACUGACGCUGAGAAGCGAAAGCGUGGGUAGCGAACAGGAUUAGAUACCC